rnacentral:lncRNA from 10 species
AGAAAUGGAGGAGAAAAGGAUCUUUCAUCCAGCAUUCAGUCAGUGGCCUCUGCCUGGAGACAAAGCCUGCCCAGCUGGUGACCAGCAAGUGUCAGGCUGACGCCCAGGCCCAGCAGUGGCAGCUGUUGCCACACACAUGACGGGCCUGAACCUCUGCUCUGGAUUGAAGCCACUGUCUGCCCAAGCUGCCACCCCCUAAUCUUCCUCCCUGGCGUGCUCAAACUGCCAUCGCCUGCUCCCUCCACACGGCCCUUGGGGUCAGCAGCCAAGUGUCUGUGGUCCGCAGCACCUGCUCUGGAGGGCUCUCCAGCAGUUUCGCCUCCUGACUCUCACCAGCGUC